ACUCAAAGGAAUUGACGGGGGCCCGCACAAGCGGUGGAGCAUGUGGCUUAAUUCGAUGCAACGCGAAGAACCUUACCUGGCCUUGACAUGCUGGUAGUAGAAGCCGGAAACGGUGACGACUCCUCGCAAGAGGAGAGCCAGCACAGGUGCUGCAUGGUUGUCGUCAGCUCGUGUCGUGAGAUGUUGGCUUAAGUGCCGCAACGAGCGCAACCCCUGUGUUUAGUUGCCUGCGAAAGCGGGAUCUCUAAACAGACUGCCUCGCUUUAAACGAGGAGGAAGGUGGGGAUGACGUCAAAUCAGUAUGGCCCUUACGGCCAGGGCUGCACACGUGCUACAAUGCAUGGUACAGAGGGACGCAAGACCGCGAGGUGGAGCAAAUCCCAUAAAACCAUGCCCAGUUCAGAUUGAAGGCUGCAACUCGCCUUCAUGAAGCCGGAAUCGCUAGUAAUGGCGCAUCAGCUACGGCGCCGUGAAUACGUUCCCGGGCCUUGUACACACCGCCCGU
rnacentral:rRNA from 1 species